AGAGUUUGAUCCUGGCUCAGGAUGAACGCUGGCGGCGUGCUUAACACAUGCAAGUCGAACGAAGCACCUUGAUUUGAUUCUUCGGAUGAAGAUCUUGGUGACUGAGUGGCGGACGGGUGAGUAACGCGUGGGUAACCUGCCUCAUACAGGGGGAUAACAGUUAGAAAUGGCUGCUAAUACCGCAUAAGCAUACAGCACCGCAUGGUGCAGUGUGAAAAACUCCGGUGGUAUGAGAUGGACCCGCGUCUGAUUAGCUAGUUGGUGGGGUAACGGCCCACCAAGGCGACGAUCAGUAGCCGACCUGAGAGGGUGACCGGCCACAUUGGGACUGAGACACGGCCCAAACUCCUACGGGAGGCAGCAGUGGGGAAUAUUGCACAAUGGGGGAAACCCUGAUGCAGCGACGCCGCGUGAGUGAAGAAGUAUUUCGGUAUGUAAAGCUCUAUCAGCAGGGAAGAAAAUGACGGUACCUGACUAAGAAGCCCCGGCUAACUACGUGCCAGCAGCCGCGGUAAUACGUAGGGGGCAAGCGUUAUCCGGAAUUACUGGGUGUAAAGGGAGCGCAGGCGGCAUGGUAAGCCAGAUGUGAAAGCCUUGGGCUUAACCCGAGGAUUGCAUUUGGAACUAUCAAGCUAGAGUACAGGAGAGGAAAGCGGAAUUCCUAGUGUAGCGGUGAAAUGCGUAGAUAUUAGGAGGAACACCAGUGGCGAAGGCGGCUUACUGGACGGUAACUGACGUUGAGGCUCGAAAGCGUGGGGAGCAAACAGGAUUAGAUACCCUGGUAGUCCACGCAGUAAACGAUGAUCACUAGCUGUUUGCGAUACACUGUAAGCGGCACAGCGAAAGCGUUAAGUGAUCCACCUGGGGAGUACGCC
rnacentral:rRNA from 1 species